rnacentral:tRNA from 1 species
UCCCUGGUGGCUCAGAGGUUAAAGCGUCUGCCUCCAAUGCGGGAGACCCAGGUUCAAACCCUGAGUUAGGAA